rnacentral:tRNA from 1 species
ACCCUAGUGGCGAAAUGGUAUACGCAACUGAAUUAGAAUCAGUGGAGAAGCAAGGCUCGUGAGGGUUCGAUUCCCUCCUAGGGUA